GCUGGAAAUAGAGAGCUAGAUAUGCCAGCAAGAAGAAAAGGCGUCUCCAGUUGAGGCUCCGAUGCUGCUAUGGCUAUUGAGGCCAGAGUGCAUUUGUUCAAAUGAAACAAGGUCUAUUUUUUCUGCAUGUUGAGAAGAUUACUAAAGUCUUUCUAUACAUAUUAAGAUACCUUUUCUUC